ACCCUGAGCCAAUAUAAUUACUGUUUAGGAUGUAUAGAGGUUAGUAAACAAUCUAUGCUUUAAUAUAUCUCACCAACCCUGAGCCAAUAUAAUUACUGUUUAGGAAGUAUAGAGGUUAGUAAACAAUCUAUGCUUUAAUAUAUCUCACCAACCCUGAGCCAAUAUAAUUACUGUUUUGGAUGUAUAGAGGUUAGUAAACAAUCAAUGCUUUAAUAUAUCUCACCAACCCUGAGCCAAUAUAAUUACUGUUUUGGAAGU